AUCCCAAUGAGGAUGAUAAGACCUUGAUAGGAAGUGCCGUAUGACACUUAAGCAGCAGCUGUGCCAACCAGUUACUUGCAGUUUUCUCUGCAUUUGCUCCACUCAAAUUCUGUAAGAACUGAGCUGUAGUGUAGUGUAUGUCAAAUGAUUAGUGUAGAUCAACUGGAACUGGUCAUAGUUGUUUGUGUGAUUUUAAAUGGGUCUCUGAGGGUU